rnacentral:rRNA from 1 species
AUCCUGGCUCAGGAUGAACGCUAGCUACAGGCUUAACACAUGCAAGUCGAGGGGAAACGAUAUUGGAAGCUUGCUUCCGAUAGGCGUCGACCGGCGCACGGGUGAGUAACGCGUAUCCAACCUGCCCAUCACUUGGGGAUAACCUUGCGAAAGUAAGACUAAUACCCAAUGACGUCUCUAGAAGACAUCUGAAAGAGAUUAAAGAUUUAUCGGUGAUGGAUGGGGAUGCGUCUGAUUAGCUUGUUGGCGGGGUAACGGCCCACCAAGGCGACGAUCAGUAGGGGUUCUGAGAGGAAGGUCCCCCACAUUGGAACUGAGACACGGUCCAAACUCCUACGGGAGGCAGCAGUGAGGAAUAUUGGUCAAUGGACGAGAGUCUGAACCAGCCAAGUAGCGUGCAGGAUGACGGCCCUAUGGGUUGUAAACUGCUUUUAUAAGGGAAUAAAGUGGGAGUCGUGACUCUUUUUGCAUGUACCUUAUGAAUAAGGACCGGCUAAUUCCGUG